rnacentral:rRNA from 1 species
CGGUCCUAAGGUAGCGAAAUUCCUUGUCGGGUAAGUUCCGACCUGCACGAAUGGCGUAACGACUUCCCCACUGUCUCGACCAGGAGCUCGGCGAAAUUGCAGUACGAGUAAAGAUGCUCGUUAAGCGCAGAAGGACGAAAAGACCCCGGGACCUUUACUAUACCUUGGUAUUGGCGUUAGGCGCGGAUUGUGUAGCAUAGGCGGGAGGCUUCGAAGCGCGGGCGCCAGCCCGUGUGGAGCCGCAAGGUGAAAUACCGCUCUGUUCUCGUUUGACGUCUAACCUCGAACAGUCAUCCUGUUCAGGGACAGUGCCUGGCGGGUAGUUCAACUGGGGCGGUUGCCUCCCAAAGAGUAACGGAGGCGCUCAAAGGUCCGCUCAGCCCGGUUGGCAAUCGGGUGUCGAGUGUAAUCGCACAAGCGGGCUUGACUGCGAGGACGACGGUCCGAGCAGGGACGAAAGUCGGAGAUAGUGAUCCGGUGCCGGCGCACGGGCGCGGCAUCGCUCAACGGAUAAAAGGUACCCCGGGGAUAACAGGCUGAUCAUUCCCAAGAGUCCAUAUCGACGGGAUGGUUUGGCACCUCGAUGUCGGCUCGUCGCAUCCUGGGGCUGGAGCAGGUCCCAAGGGUUCGGCUGUUCGCCGAUUAAAGCGGCACGCGAGCUGGGUUCAGAACGUCGUGAGACAGUUUGGUCUCUAUCCUCUGCGCUCGUUGGAAUCCUGAGGAGGCCUGCCCAUAGUACGAGAGGACCUGGGUGGACGAACCUCUGGUAUGCCGGUUGUCGCGCCAGCGGCACGGCCGGUUGGCUACGUUCGGGAGGGAUAACCGCUGAAAGCAUCUAAGCGGGAAGCCUGCUCCAAGAUUAGGAUUCCUUGGCACUUCGGUGUCUGUAGCCCGCAUGUUGAACACGUGUUUGAUAGGCCGGAGGUGGAAGUCCCGUGAGGGGUGGAGCCGACCGGUACUAACGGGCGAUGGCGACACAAC